rnacentral:rRNA from 1 species
UACGGGGGGGCAAGCGUUGUUCGGAAUUACUGGGCGUAAAGGGCUCGUAGGCGGCCAACUAAGUCAUACGUGAAAUCCCUCGGCUUAACCGGGGAACUGCGUCUGAUACUGGAUGGCUUGAGAUUGGGAGAGGGAUGCGGAAUUCCAGGUGUAGCGGUGAAAUGCGUAGAUAUCUGGAGGAACACCGGUGGCGAAGGCGGCAUCCUGGACCAACACGUGACGCUGAGGAGCGGAA